CACCAAAACAUCAAGCUAGUUGGUACUAAUUUCAAGAAAUUUCGACAGAGUUCCCAUUAAAAAUAGAUAUCCAAAAAAUUUUAAACCUGUCUAACAAAACUUACAAUAAUCAAUACAUAUCCAAAUCACCAAAAAAACAAUCAUUCCACACCCAAAAAUCAUAAUAACUAUGUAUAAUUAGUUAACUUUACAAAAUAUGGAACCAAAAAUAUACAAACAUGCAGAAAAUAGAUAAACAUGUUAAGCAUAAGACCCAUUACUUCAUAGCUUACUCUAAGUAUUCUUUAAAGCUUACACCACGUAUCCUUCAAUGUAUACCUGAAAAUAUUUGAAAUAUAAAAAUUAUUGAAAUAUAUGAGUCAAAAUAAAACAACUAUAAAUCCGAAACAUAAGAACCCAUAUUUGAAAUAUAUGAGUCAAAAUUAUCGAAAUAUAUGAGUCAAAAUUAUCGAAAUAUUUGAAAUAUGAGCACACACAUAUUUACUUUAUGAACAACGCAAUGUUCUGAAAGACCUCCUCACCUUAUAUAUUAUUCCAGUACUUGGUCCUAAUAAAAAUUUUGAGAAAAGAUAUCACUACCUGAUCCUCAACCUUCAUAUUCUUUGAGAAAAGAUUGGUAGCAUGACAUUCUUUAGUCAAAGGUCGCAAACCCCUGUAGUAGCAAAAGAAAAAUGAUAUACAAACCACUCAAUUUGACUACUGUCAUAAGUUUCUCUCUCCCAUUUUCUCUACCUGAAGUAAUUUUUAGAAUUUUGAAUAAACUGAUAUUAAUGAGAAGGUUCGACUGUGCUAUUCUCCAUUAAGACUCAGUUCAAAGCUUUAGCCUUUGUUUGAAUUUCUGGAUCCUAAGACAGUCUCAGACACUCAUUUUAAUUGGUUUACAUAAUUAAAAAAAUUAUUUUUCCUUUUGAUAAUAAAAAAAGAAGCAUGAUGGAGAUGGAGAUGAAGAUAUAAAUGACAUCAAAACGAUUAAACCAGCCGAUUUCUACUGACCUGACCAGUAUCCUUUAAUUCUCCUUUGAAAACUUUGUUAAAUCCUCAUUAGCAACGACAAACUGAUCUACAUCCUUUGACUCGUCCUUCUUCCCAUUCUCAUUUGAGAUAGCUUUCAAUGUAUCUAAAUCAUGUAAGGAUUAAAAAAUAAACAUGAAGGAGAGAGAAUUACCUAAUAAAAGAUACAAAAUGCACAUGGUGAGUAAAGAUAGACCACUAUGAUUCUCACAAAAAGAGCAAAAGUAUGAUUACAACUAUUAGAGAACCCCUAAAGCAUAGAAAGAACCCAAAAAAAGGUACACAAUUCAUAGAACUCAUAAGAAAUAAUUUCUCAAAACAUUAAGGUUGAACACAUCUAAAAAGUCUAAGUAACAAUUUGAUGGCAGACUACAAACUUCUCAAAUAUUCAUUGCUAAGGGUCCUACAAAGUAUCAUGGAACACUAUCAAUUCAAGAGGAUAGUUUAACCAGUUUCUUUCAAUAAAAUUUGUUAGUGAUGUUGGGUUAUGAGUUACCAGUGCUUUUCUUUUCCAUAUCGAGCAAGAAAUAAAUACAUAUGAGAAUAUGCCAAACACAUGGGACUUAGUUCAAGUUUUCCUCACUCUAUCCCAUACUUAUCAAAGGUUAAAUUCUCGUGUAUGCUACAUAUGAGAAUAGCUAUGCAAUCAAUUUAAAAUUAUGCAUAAGUUUUGGGCCAACGAAGUGCACAAGGUAUGAGAAUGUUUUUUAUGAUAUAAGUAGAAGACUGAAACAAAUAAUUUCAACUUCCUCUCCCAUUUGCAACUAAAAAAAAAGGCAUGUACACAUAAAAGGUAAAAACUCAGUACUCCAUAUUUUGGACACCGGAUGCAUAUUCACACCACGCCUGGUACUCCAUCACACGCUAAUCAAACCCAUACUGAAGAGAAAGAGAGACAGAUAAAACCCUUGAGUGGAAAUUCCCAACAACAAAAAAUUCAAACUAAAACAAAAUAAAACAGGAAAAAUAAGAACAUGUAAGAAAAAGAAAGAUCAAUUCAUAAUCACAAACCCAGCAGAAAAGAACCCCUCUCUUCUUCAAAUACCCACCAAAAAUUAAAAUCAGAUAGAGAAAAGAACGUUGCCGCUUUCUGCGAUAAUGAUCAAAAAUGAAGAAUCCCCUGCAACUUGAUUUUGGGAAAUCUUUGUAUUGGAUUUAAACAACUUUCUCUCUCCUCAAAAUUAAGGAAAUGCACAGCGGGAUAAGGAGAAGGCGGAAUGAGAAGGGGGAAGAGGUAUAAGGCGGGACUUGGGCAGAUUGUAGGGGGAAUUUUGAAUUGGGAAUUUUUGAAUUGGGAAAAGGUAUGAGAAUGUUUUUUGUGAAAUGAAAUAAUUAAGAUUAAAUUUGAGUCAUUGGAUGAUGAAGUUUUAAUCGAGACCGUUGUUUGUUGAAGCCGCUCUGUUUUAUUAUAUAGAUUUUGAAACCUAAUUUAUAGUAAUAUAUUAGUAGAUAUUCAUACUUGUCCAUUAUAUAUGGUUACGUUUAUGCCUUUACCUAGUAGCUCAUCAACCUGGUAUAUAUGAUUACUUGACCAAUUUGGCAUCGUGCAACAGAUUUAUGCCUACCUCUUGACGUUGCAAGAAUGGAUUAAUCAGAACAUAUAUGAUACCUCCUAGACUCUUCAGAUGAAAGCAAACUAUAAAUUUUUACUAACGAUCUGCAUUUGUGGACACUCCCUUUGUUGUUUCCUUUUCCUCCUCAGAACAAAUGACAGAGAACCUUUAUAACUAUUAAUUGAUUUAUAUUCAACUUCAAAUGACACGAUCAACAAUGCCACAACUUAGGUUCAGCUCUGGAUCAUUCAAACCACUUCACUUCUUUUCAAUGAACUAUUUUUAGAAGAGAAAAAUUACUUGAAAAAAUUACUUGGAAGUUAUCUACAGCACAUGUCUUACUGAUUAGCCACCUUCACCCAACAUUGGAGGUCCAAUCUUAUAACAGGGCUUUCCUAAUGGAUGCCAAAACCACAGAUCCUAUUAUAAAAUAAAAGAACUGUUUCGAUUGAACAGACUCUGAUGAAUCUGGCCUUCAGCUCAAUCUGCCUUUUCAGACAUAUAGAGACCAUCUUCAUAGAUAAGUUACUUCAAAACUUAGAAUCUCAACAUUACCAAUUGAACAUAAUCUAAUCAAACAAAUAACACUCAAUGAUGUAAUCCAACCGUACCAAGGCUCCUUAAAAGUCCAUCUAAAGGCAUUUCAAAGCUCAUACCAGCAUUCCAAAAAAGUCACAAACAAAGAGAGAUAAUUAAUAUAUUAAUCAGCGAUGGAGAAAAAGAAAAGAGAGACAGAAAUAAUAAUAGAAAACAGCACCACAUAGGCACAUAUACUAAAUCAACAUAACAUAAACAAAAAACAAAGUGUAUUCAUCAUACACUUUAGUACUAAUCUCAUACAUUUACAAAUGAAAAUACAAUAAAGUCCUUAUGUCAUGCAGAUUACUGAGAAAGCUAUGCAGGUCAUGUAGGUUCACAGUUCUCCAGUUUUUAACAAUAAAAUAACACAAACCCAAAUUUCACUCAUUUAUCUCAUCUGAAUUCUCUACAAAAAAUGACAAUUAAUAAUCACACAUAAUCUAAAAAAAUGAAAAAUAAAAUUUUACUGAGUCAACACAAAAAACAAAAAACAAAGUGGGGUAAAAAAACUAAACAAAAUUUCAAUUUUCAGCUUAAUUUUUCACCUCUCAAAAAAGAAAAUUAUAAUCAUUUAUGCUCUCAAAAAUGAAAAUGAGUUCAUACUUUUACCCAUAAAUAUCUAUAUAUAUACACACACACACACAUAUCAAUCACAUAAUAAAUAAACCCAGGUAUAAAUUUUUUUUAUUAAACUUUUUCCUCCAAAUUUUGAGGGUAUACAACAGGAAUCAUUCAAUCUUUGUAGGAUUGAUGCACAAUUAUGAACAUAAAAACCAAAUUCCAAUUAUACGCAUUAACCAACCAGAAAAGGAGAAGUAUAAUCAUCAUCCAAGAUAUAAAAAGUAAAAACUAAAAAAUGAAGAAAAGAGGGGACCUGAGCGUCCAUAAUUUUGCCAAAACAGACAAUCCUCCGACAUAUAUACGAUAAUCUUGUGGUUCCUUCCCAGCCAAUUCAAAUUAAUUAAUCGCAGCUUGAACUUAAUAAAUUGACAACGAAAAAACACGAUUUAAACACAAAUUAAUCCAAAACAAUUUGAAAUACGAAAGGACACUAAUUGUUGAAGAAGUGAAUCCAAUUUAUAGAUAAAAUGUUCUAUUUUCGAGCAAAUUUCAGAUACAAAUUCAGAAGAAAUGUUGGGUUGAGAUGAAAAAAUGAUUAAAUGGAGGUAAAAAGGAAUUGGGUUUUGAGGGGAUUUACCAUUUCUGGUGAGGAGAGAGGUCAUUGUCGUUGUAGGUGGUAGAAGCCAUUAAUGAAGUUGUUGAGCUUCUUUCUUCUCCUUCUUCGAAAGGGUAUACUGAAACAAAGAGGGGUUUUGAUUUGGGCCUUUUUGGAGGAGAGUACAAUGGAAGGAGGUGAGACUUGGGUAGUGUAGGGGGUUUUAAUUUGGGCAUUUUUUUUUGUUUAUGAAAUGAAAUCUGACCCUUAAGAUUAGGUUAGAUGAAAUCUGAGCUCUUGUUUGUUGAAGCCGCUCUGUUUUAUUAUAUAGAUAAUUCAUGAUCACCACUUAAACAGGCUUCCACGAAAAUCAUAUAUUAAUAUACUAUAAGUGAUUCAUAAUCACGUGAUCCUGCUAUGUAUCAGCUUUAAAAAAG
rnacentral:lncRNA from 1 species